rnacentral:lncRNA from 10 species
GAGGGCAGAGUGGAGGGGCAAGAGUGAAAGCAGGAUGUCUUAGCUUGGGAUCAUUAAAAAGCUGAAGUGAGACAAGGACUUGGGUGCAGGUGGCUCAUUUGGGAAUAAUCUCUGGGAGCAGGAGUGAGGAACCAUGGAUUUCUGGGUUGCUGUACCAGGCAACAGGGGCUCCAUUCUGCUAGGACCUUCUGAGAAGCAACACAAGGUCUCCCAGAAUUGCCCUUCCACCCUAAAUGGGGGGCCAAAUGCUAUCCAUCAGUCCUGCCUUCACUGGUGGAGGAGGAUUUCCCUCCAGAGUGUUCAUUUGUGGGCUGUCCAUGAGCACAGGCCCCCCAAACAUCAGAGGAAUCUUAGGAAGAAAGAGAAGACAAAUAUGGCACACAUGUGAGACCAGACCACAUCAGAAUGCAGUGAAUCAUAUCCCACAGGGAGCCGUCCACUCGAGCCAGGGAUGCAAUCAGAGGAGAAGCCAAGAGGAUGAGAGGAGAAGGAGGAAGUGUCUGACACCUGCGAGGAGGCCACUGUAGUCAUCCAGAACCACCACUAAGAUACAUCUGUGCUGAAGGCCUCAGAUCGGCACUUCUCUGAAGAACGUUCCAGAAAAGAGUGGAAAACAUUGUUUUAGGUGGGCCCCUCUUGGAGGCUCAGGAGGCAUGCUAGCAUAGUAAAGGCUCUGAUAAGUCCUGCCGCAAGGAGAUUUUCUCAAGUUUGUUUGCUCACGGAAGUCCUUUGGGCAGAACACCCACCAGCAUCCUACAGUCUCUGCUCUGCCAUCCAUGAUGAACGGUCUGCCUACAGAACGGUCUGUGACUUUCUCUUGGUGGCUGUUGGGCUGGGAGGACCCAGACAAGAUCAGUCCCAGUUAUAUCCACCGAAUACAGAUCCACGGAUGUCCCCAGGUUGGUGGCUGCGUCUUUGCCCCAGCCUCAGUCCAUUAGAAAGUGAUCUUUGCAGCUGGAACUACUGACAUUAGCUCCAGUUCCUCCAGGUGUUAUUUCAUUCCUGGAUGCCUGAAAAUCCCUGAAAGUGCUGCUUGAGCCAAAUUCAGAAGACAUGAUAAACCAGGUUAAUUUUAGGGCCCAUGACAAUAAGCAGGUGUCCUCUCAGUGGGUUGGUUGGAUAAAUGAGUUAAUUUUGUCCAAGCUCCAAACAUCUUGGGGACUUUGGUGCUGAGGGUGCACAUAUGUGUUGGGGGGUGGGUAGGGGAAAUAGUUCCUGCAUAGAACUGCUCCAGGGGGUUUGUGGAGACCUGACAAAGGACAGCUGCAUACUCAGCACUGCAAUUACUGGUGGUAAAAUGGUCCGACGGUAGAUCCCAGUGAGGGAGCUUGGCGGGUGGGCUUGGCAUUCUUUAGAAAACCCCACAUCAGCAGCUUUGCUGGUGGGAGUGGGGGUGAUUGGGGACCUUGGUGCCUUAUCCUGAGGCUGGGCAAGGCAGUCCAGGGCAGUGGAGGGUGGGACAGAGGGGAAGGUGUUUUUCAGAGUGAUCCCAGCAAGGGCAGAGACAAGAAUGGGGGUUUUAGGCAGACCACAUAGGUCGUUGGGGGAACCUCAGCUGUGCUCUGAAGGGACUGUGUGAUGUUGGGGGGCUCCUUUGGACUCUCUGAGCCUCAAUUUCCUCAUCUGCAAAUGGAGGCAAUAAUCUCUCUCUCUCUUUCAGAAUAAUGAAUGGAAUAACUUGGGCUAAGUGCCUAGAAAUAUCUGGCACAUAAUAUGUGCUCUUGUGAAUACCAAUUCUCCCCCAUUUCUUUGGAUAAGCUCAGAGACUGGCAGAGAGGUGUUUUUUUUUUUUUUAACUUUUAAUUGAAGUGUAACAUACACAUAGAAAAGUGCAUACAGCUUUUUUUUUUUUUUAAUUUACAAUUUAUUUCAACUCUUCCAGGGCUGGGAAUGUUACAAAACCUUAAACCAAU